GGUAGAGUGGCUGAAAUAGCGGUAGAUUGUAGUCCUACGCAUGGAAGAUGAGCUUCCCUUUAUCA
rnacentral:tRNA from 1 species